rnacentral:rRNA from 1 species
AGGUCCAGCCUGCCCAGUGAAUUUUUAACGGCCGCGGUAUCCUAACCGCGCGAAGGUAGCAUAAUCACUUGUUCUUUAAAUGGGGACUCGUAUCAACGGCAUCACGAGGGUUUUACUGUCUCCUCUUUUUGAUCAGUGAAAUUGAUCUUCCCGUGAAGAAGCGGGAAUACUCAUAUAAGACGAGAAGACCCCAUGGAGCUUAAAACCAAAUGGUAACUUAACCACAUAUUUCCUUAUAACUUUAAGCCUAUACUAUGAGGUUUUUGGUUGGGGUGACCGCGGAGUAAAACAUAUCCUCCACGACGGAAAGACUACAAUCUUUAUUUAAGAACCACAGUUCUAAAAAUUAGCAUACUAACGUUUACUGACCCGAUAAUCGAUCAACGGAACAAGUUACCCUGGGGAUAACAGCGCAAUCUACUUCAAGAGCCCAUAUCGACGAGUAGGCUUACGACCUCGAUGUUGGAUCAGGGUAUCCCAGUGGUGCAGCCAUUACUGAAGGUUC